rnacentral:misc_RNA from 1 species
CUGAGUACUACACUCUCUACCCUUUGUGAACUAUUAUACCUGUUGCUUCGGCGGCGCCCGCAAGGGUGCCCGCCGGCCUCAUCAGAAUCUCUGUUUUCGAACCCGACGAUACUUCUGAGUGUUCUUAGCGAACUGUCA